GCACUGUUGAGAAGUCCCACAAUAGGACGAAACGGCCGUCCAGUGU
rnacentral:hammerhead_ribozyme from 1 species